AACGAACGCUGGCGGCAUGCCUAACACAUGCAAGUCGAACGAGACCUUCGGGUCUAGUGGCGCACGGGUGCGUAACGCGUGGGAAUCUGCCCUUGGGUUCGGAAUAACAGUGAGAAAUUACUGCUAAUACCGGAUGAUGACGUAAGUCCAAAGAUUUAUCGCCCAAGGAUGAGCCCGCGUAGGAUUAGCUAGUUGGUGAGGUAAAGGCUCACCAAGGCGACGAUCCUUAGCUGGUCUGAGAGGAUGAUCAGCCACACUGGGACUGAGACACGGCCCAGACUCCUACGGGAGGCAGCAGUGGGGAAUAUUGGACAAUGGGCGAAAGCCUGAUCCAGCAAUGCCGCGUGAGUGAUGAAGGCCUUAGGGUUGUAAAGCUCUUUUACCCGGGAUGAUAAUGACAGUACCGGGAGAAUAAGCUCCGGCUAACUCCGUGCCAGCAGCCGCAGUAAC
rnacentral:rRNA from 1 species